rnacentral:rRNA from 1 species
AGUGAACGCUGGCGGUAGGCCUAACACAUGCAAGUCGAACGGCAGCACAGUAAGAGCUUGCUCUUACGGGUGGCGAGUGGCGGACGGGUGAGGAAUACAUCGGAAUCUACUUUUUCGUGGGGGAUAACGUAGGGGAACUUACGCUAAUACCGCAUACGACCUACGGGUGAAAGCAGGGGAUCUUCGGACCUUGCGCGAUUGAAUGAGCCGAUGUCGGAUUAGCUAGUUGGCGGGGUAAAGGCCCACCAAGGCGACGAUCCGUAGCUGGUCUGAGAGGAUGAUCAGCCACACUGGAACUGAGACACGGUCCAGACUACUACGGGAGGCAGCAGUGGGGAAUAUUGGACAAUGGGCGCAAGCCUGAUCCAGCCAUACCGCGUGGGUGAAGAAGGCCUUCGGGUUGUAAAGCCCUUUUGUUGGGAAAGAAAAGCAGCAGGUUAAUACCCCGCUGUUCUGACGGUACCCAAAGAAUAAGCACCGGCUAACUUCGUG